GCCCCGCUCCCCUGUCUGGUGGGGUGGGAGACCGGUGGCUCCUCCCGCCGAGCUGAGAGCCACGUAGGGCACCCCUAUGCGCUCCCUACGCAUCUGGGAUGGCACCCCUGCCCUGAGGGCCCCGCAGAGUCCCACCCUUCCUGCAACCAGCCCCUCCAAAGCCAUUAAACCACCCACAAAUCCAGCCCCAACGCCCCCACAGGCCCCAAAACGCCUCCGAGCCCUGCCGCAAUGUUGUCACUGACUCCAGACCUUCGCCUGCACUCUGUCCAAGGCCCCAAACAUUCCUCAGACUGCUGCCAGACCCAGUCCCCGCAGCAGUGAGGCGUUCUAACAAAGAUGGGGUGCGAUCUGCGUCUCCGCCUCGACUCGGUCCCGCUUUAGAGAAACAGGAACUUAGAGCACUUCCUGGUGAAGAGUGUUGACGGGUGGAUGCGCAGAUGACAAAGAGAUUUUUCUCUCUUUUCUUCUGAGCCGCCUCUGAGAAGCCUCUGUAUGUGCACGAUGUGGCUGAUCUGGGAUAAUCGUGCUGUGCGCAGUGCUUAAGGAGAACAUUGCCCUAAAAUGGCGGGCUAAGGAAUAGCCUAAAAAACCUAAAAGGCUCGGGAAAAGCUCAAGAGAACACCGAUGGGCUCUGGGAAGCCCCAGUGAUGCUAGCGAAAACAGCGUGGCUUUUAGGCACCUCCUCAGAGCAGCAGCAAUGUCUCGCUCCAGCCUAUGGGACAAUGGGGACUCUUAAUUACCGCCUUGAAUUACCACAAGUGUUGCGAAAGCAGAAGGGACUAGGGAGCAUGCAGAGCAGGUUGUGGACUAUAUGUCAAGUUUAAACAAGCAACAAGCCCCUCUGCAAAUAGAAACAGGUUUAGCCCGAAGUAAUAGACGAAGGUAGCUGUGAGUAACGUGAAGCGAAGCGGUGACGUCGGUCACCCCGAAAGCCUCGGAGAAGCGGUCUGAAAAUCUGGUACCCUCGCGGCCUCGGCAGUCUUUUUGGUUUGUUUGGCAGGGCAGCCCACCGAAGGGGGACAUCUCGAAGAGAAGCAGCAAGACCUGGGGAUCCGGUGGUUCAUUUUGGUCAUCGCCUGUGAGGCCAGCGUCCGAGCGUAAGAGGAAGCUAGGAGCUGUGUCGAAAAGAGAUGGAACCAAGGACAGCAAAUGCUGACGAAGAGAAGAGACGGACAAGCGUUUUCUUGUGGUUAAUACCGAAGGGACGGGAUGAAACAAGGAAGCCAGAAUGCAGCGGCCCCUCGAUAUCACCAGGAACUGCUGCAGGAGGAGGCGUUCUGGCACGGGUAACUAAGGUAAGUAUCGCUGAUGACCGUUAGUAGUUAUUUCGGCCUCCCCGAGGCAGCGCUGAGGACUGAGUAACCUGAGGGGCUCUGGCCUGGGCUAGGGCAGAAGUGCAGGCAGGCGGGAUCAGGCAUUUUCCUCUCAGCUCUCCGAGCUGAAUCCUAGCCCCGAAGGAAAAAGCAUUGGGGGGAGGCUGUCGGCUACUCGGACACCUGCCACGUCGAGGGCAGGGGCAGGAGCUGACCCUUCCCGGACGGACAGACGGACGGACGGACAGACAGACGCUGGUGCGGCGGUGACUCUUUGGGUAUCGCAGGUGGGGGGAGCUGGCGCUGGGGCAGGACCUGGGCAGCGGAGCUGCCGUGGAGCACGGCCUGCCGGGACCGGCCCGGCAGCUGCCCCGCGGAGGAGGUGAGCGGGGCCGGGGGAGGCGCGCUGCAGGCUGCGGGUCCCGCAUGCGCCGGGGGUCCCGGCGGCUGGGAGCGUCCCGGGGCCCCGGAGGCGGGGGGAGCAAGGGGGUGCGCCGGGGCUGUGGUGCGGUUUACUGCGCGGUCGGAGGA